UGGGGAAUAUUGCACAAUGGGGGAAACCCUGAUGCAGCGACGCCGCGUGAGCGAAGAAGGUUUUCGAAUCGUAAAGCUCUGUCCUAUGAGAAGAUAAUGACGGUAUCAUAGGAGGAAGCCCCGGCUAAAUACGUGCCAGCAGCCGCGGUAAUACGUAUGGGGCGAGCGUUGUCCGGAAUUAUUGGGCGUAAAGCGAGCGCAGGCGGUUAGAAAAGUCUGAAGUGAAAGGCAGUGGCUCAACCAUUGUAGGCUUUGGAAACUGUUUAACUUGAGUGCAGAAGGGGAGAGUGGAAUUCCAUGUGUAGCGGUGAAAUGCGUAGAUAUAUGGAGGAACACCGGUGGCGAAAGCGGCUUUUUGGCCUGCAACUGACACUGAGGCGCGAAAGCGUGGGGAGCAAACAGG
rnacentral:rRNA from 1 species